CGGGAACUCAAAGGAGACUGCCAGUGAUAAACUGGAGGAAGGUGGGGAUGACGUCAAGUCAUCAUGGCCCUUACGAGUAGGGCUACACACGUGCUACAAUGGCAUAUACAAAGAGAAGCGACCUCGCGAGAGCAAGCGGACCUCAUAAAGUAUGUCGUAGUCCGGAUUGGAGUCUGCAACUCGACUCCAUGAAGUCGGAAUCGCUAGUAAUCGUAGAUCAGAAUGCUACGGUGAAUACGUUCCCGGGCCUUGUACACACCGCCCGUCACACCAUGGGAGUGGGUUGCAAAAGAAGUAGGUAGCUUAACCUUCGGGAGGGCGCUUACCACUUUGUGAUUCAUGACUGGGGUGAAGUCGUAACAAGGUAACCGUAGGGGAACCUGCGGUUGGAUCACCUCCUUACCUUAAAGAA
rnacentral:rRNA from 1 species